CUGAGAAUAUCUGAAUUUAUUGCAAUUUAUAAUAACAGCAUGAACAAUUUAACAUACAUUAAUAUAUGAGGGUAUUUUUGGAAAGAAAUUAGUAUUUGCACCUCCUUCCUUGAGCCACUGAACUUUAGAUUUCUGGCAAAGCAAUGAUUCAUGUAAAUUUGUGAUGAGCAAAUAUUUUCCCAACAACUCCUUCCUUUCCAGACCUUGCUCUCUCGUUGAUUGUUGAUCCUCCGCUUUCAAAUCAAGUUCAUUCAUUCUCAAAACAACCUCACUUCUCUUUGUGUUCAAGAUUUCCAAAAACCUCAAAGUUUCACUUCCUCAGCAAAGAUUUUAUAAUUAAUGAUACAUACACAUCUUACUUUCUCUUCCAUCUCAUUUGCACACAUUUUUAUUCUUAUCUCUCUCUACAUUUCCUGUCACAUCACAAAUUGUAUCACUCAUUUCUCUCUUAUUUCUUCUUUACCUCACAAGGUGGAGGUGGAUUUAAAUUGUCAACUAAACAUCAUUCAAUAUUAUAUUAGUCUACCUAAAGUUAGGCUAUGAUAAUUUUAGCUAUAAAAAUCAAUACAUAUAUUAAAACAUAAUCAUUCUAAGAAGUUGUUAGCUGAUGUGUCAGCUCCACAAAUUUUUGGCAAUAUUUUAUUCCCCCACCUGAAUAAACUGCAAUAUUUUAUUCACUCACCCAUUAUUUUAAUACAGUUUAUUCCAACACCUUCUCUCACCUUCUAUGCCAUCAAUGCGUUUUUCUUUUUCCCCCUCCCAACCACCGGUGUCUCUUCUCAUUCUUCUUUUUUUUUCCCUCUCUUCAUUUUCCCUUCUUAAUUUUCCUCGAUUUUGUUCAUUCUUUUUCGGUUUUUCCGUGCACAACUACAUUCUUCCUCUGUUAUUGAUGGCUUCGCCGCCCAUUUUGUUCACCCAAUGUUAUUCUCACCAACCAAAAUUUGUUUUCUGUUUUUUUUUAAAACAAUUUGGUGCAUUUGUUCCCAAACCAUGAUUGUUUUUCUUUGAUUCUUCAGCUUCUGCUGUUUAAAAUUCAAAUUGUUAUGUCACUCCAUCUCUUCUAUAAAAGGGUUUGAUUUCUCAAGCCCAGACCCAGAAACCCUAUUCGAUAAUUUCUUCCUAAUCCCUUUUCAAGCUUUUUCGCCAUGUCUCUUAGGGUUGAUGAUGUUUCCAGCAUUGAUGUUUCGAAAGAAACGUGGUCUAUCGUGGUGAAGGUCAUUCGUCUUUGGUUAACUCCAAGCUAUUCUGGAUCUAAACUACCGUCGUCUUUAGAGAUGGUUUACAUGGAUUCAAAGGGUGCUAAAAUUCAAAGAACCAGACACGUCCUACCUUAUAGAUGUGAUAGGUAUCCUGACAGGGUCGUCCGGGGAGCAGGAGUUCGAAAAACAUGGAAGAGUGCAAAAGAGGAUUACAUUAGAACUUGAUCAGGAAGGGGUUCGCAUUGAAGCUUCUUUUUUUGGAAAAUAUGUGGAUGAAAUAGUUUGUCAGUUGGCUUUUGGUGACAUGACUAAUGCAGUUGUUGUAAUUCAAUUUGCCAAGAUCAAGCCUUUCAAAGGUUAAGGAAGACCAAGUUGAACAAACUAUUGAAGCUGUAGUUCCUAACAAUGAAUCUGGAUCUGUGAAUUUGAGUCCUUUUUCUGUCCAAGUUGAUAUUGUAUCCUCUAUUUCCAAGAACCCUGAACUGACUGAUGUUAGUGAGGUUGAUGUGAAUCUUAAGCAAAAAACAGUGGCUGGAAGGAAGGUUAAUUCUGUGGCAAACCUGAAAGAAACUUCUCCUCCGGAUGAGAAUAAUGUGAAGGUUUGUGAUGUUGUUGACAAGAUUGAAGCUGCACUUCCUGACAAUGUAUUAUCUCAAGUCCCCCUUCAGGCUGGAAACAAUGAUUCUCCUCCAUCCAAGCGUCCUGUCCCUGUUGAUGUUGAUGCCCUUGCAAAUGGUGUUGGAACAAGAAGCCGUUGAAGAUUGUUAAGCAGGAGAAGAUGUGAAAGAUCAAGAUGUUUUUUGGAGUUGUUUUUUGUCUUUUGGUGUUUUAGUGGGGUCUUUGACCCAUGAAUUUCUCUUUUAAGAACUUUGGUUAUUUUGUUUCUUUUGUUGAAUUUUGUUUCGAGUUGCUCAUUGUGCUGAGCUUGAUGGUUGUAAUGACAUUGCUAUGAUUUUUGCUUUCA